UACGGAGGGUGCAAGCGUUAUCCGGAUUCACUGGGCUUAAAGGGUGCGUAGGCGGGCAAGUAAGUCAGUGGUGAAAUCUCCGGGCUUAACCCGGAAACUGCCAUUGAUACUAUUUGUCUUGAAUACUGUGGAGGUCAGCGGAAUAUGUCAUGUAGCGGUGAAAUGCUUAGAUAUGACAUAGAACACCAAAUGCGAAGGCAGCUUACUACACAGUAAUUGACACUGAGGCACGAAAGCGUGGGGAGCGAACAGG
rnacentral:rRNA from 1 species